AAAGUAUUGUCUCUACUACCACUCUACUACCAGCGUCCACUGCCUCUCCUACCCCUCGGACAGGCUUGUGCCACGAAUUGUGUAGAACUGACCAGUCAACUGAUACAUCUUUACCUGCAUGCCCUGAAGGCUAUCGAUGCCUGUCUAAUGGGUGUGGACACGAAUGUUAUCCAAUUAUAAAAAAGUUCCAGCCACUCUGCCCUGAUAUUGUGUGUAUCCGAUCUUGCCCAUUUGGUUAUGAGUCUCGUGAUGGAUGUUCAACUUGCUCAUGCAAAGAAAUAAUCUAAAAUAAAGCUAUAAUAGAACGAAGAAAA
rnacentral:sRNA from 1 species